rnacentral:rRNA from 1 species
CACGUAGUUAGCCGGGGCUUCUUAGUCAGGUACCGUCAUUAUCUUCCCUGCUGAUAGAGCUUUACAUACCGAAAUACUUCUUCACUCACGCGGCGUCGCUGCAUCAGGGUUCCCCCCACUGUGCAAUAUUCCCCACUGCUGCCUCCCGUAGGAGUUUGGGCCGUGUCUCAGUCCCAAUGUGGCCGGUCACCCUCUCAGGUCGGCUACUGAUCGUCGCCUUGGUGGGCCGUUACCCCGCAACUAGCUAAUCAGACGCGGGCCCAUCUCAUACCACCGGAGUUUUUACCGCUGUACCAUGCGGUACCGCGGUCUUAUGCGGUAUUAGCAGUCAUUUCUAACUGUUAUCCCCCUGUAUGAGGCAGGUUGCCCACGCGUUACUCACCCGUCCGCCGCUCAGUCAGACUGCUUCGCCUCCGAAGAUUUAAAGCAGAAUGCUUCGCUCGACUUGCAUGUGUUAAGCACGCCGCCAGCGUUCAUCCUGAGCCAGGAUCAAACU